GUCAAACAGACAGGGCGAAACGACCAGUGUGGAAAAAAGCCGACAGCGCUCCGGAGUCUGUACCUUCUCGUCAGCUGGCAGAAGAUGAGGGCAUCGUCAAGGUCAUAUUUAGCUGCCCAUUCCUAAGGUCCCCUGAGAAAGACUGCUUUUUUGAACCGCAGAUGUCCAUCUGGUGAAAGUGCACUUAUACAGUGCUGUGGGAGGAGGUCCAUGACUUAAACCUCACAACAGUGGCAUUUUGGAAAAGGCAGCAAUUACCUGGCACGCACAAUGAUCCACUAAUCCCUGGAAUGACCAGAUUGCCUUAUGAGGAAAGGUGAGAC